GUGAUGCGCCCUAACAGAAAGCUGCAUAGGGGAGAGAGGGUCUAUCUGCUUACAGUCCCAGGUUCAAGGACCUACCCUAGGAGGAAGAAUAAAUGUGCUGAGCCAUGACUCUCAACAAAAUGAAAUAAAAUCAAGGUGUCCCUAGCCAGGGACAUCUGGAGGGAUAUCCAGGAGCAAAACCUAUGAAGACAAUAAAUCUCUCCUGACACAGAGCUGGAAGGAGGCAGCCAAGCUGCAGCAGUGGGCUUCUCGGUUUGAGUCGUACACAGCUUAUACUGAAACCAGAAAAUGGAACCAUAUAAAUCUCUUCUGUAUGCCCUAUUUCCAUAGGCCGAGCUCUGCAUGCUCAUAACUAGUUUGAUUACCUGCUUAUGGCUGUAUUCCUCUUCCCCUAUGCUCAGGGUAUUCAGAGCUGGGUCAUGGGAUAUUUUAGAGGGGAAUGAAACUAGGCCCAUUGUAGAAACGUGAUUUCUUCUCUUGAAUCCAACUGCUGUGGACUUUAUCAUCCCUCUUCAGGGGCAAAUAUCACUCCCUGCGAGGAUAUAUAUUGUUUCCAGAAAAAAAAAAUGCCACCUGCUGUUCUGACCUCCCAAGAGCAGCGGAUGCUUGAGGCUGAACUCUCAGCCAAGCUCAAAAUUCUCAUCAGUGCAAACUCGCAUACCAGCUGGUCCUCAUGCCAGUUCCCUGACGUAUGUCUCCUAACCAGAAAGAAGAAAGACAGUCAUUUCACUCACCAUGACUCAUUAUAGUCUCACAGCAACCCAAAGACCAAAGACAGGUGAGGGUGGGUGAGCAGUACCCAUUUCAGGAAUGUUCAUCCCUCCCCCCAAAAAAUGUACUAGUUCCACUCUCAACAGAAACUCCAUCAGUUAGGACAGUGGGGUCAGAAAAAUCAGCAGUAAGGGUGCCAUUUAACAAUGAACAAUGAACCAAUGCAUGCUGGUCCUCCCUAGCUCCUUCAGUGAUGCCUGAAGAAAUGUUGUCAAACCUAGACUGAAAUCCAGUGUGAGAAACUGUCCUCCUGUCACUGGUGUGAAAUAAAUAAGUGACUGAGUUGGCCACUGCUGUGAGGGAUCAGUAGGGGCUUGGCCACUCCAAUAGCUUGUGUGCUGAUGAACAUUCAUGAUCUAGGGAUGACACUCCCAGUGAAACAGGAUGGUUCGAGGGCAUUCUGCAGUGCUUGGCGAAGACUGAUCAGGUAGUGUUGCUUUGGGACAGCAGAAGUUUCAAGAUGGUUCCUUACAUUGGUUUUACAAUGUUUCUCAAACCAAUCUUAAGGCCAAAAUCAAGUGUUAGACACCAAGGCAGGACCUGCCUGAUCUGGAUCCAGGACACCAAAAACCACAGAGCCAGAGCCUUGAAGGCUGGCCCUGGUCACAAAUGUUUGUCUUUGCAGUGUGUGACCUGCUCCUGAACCUGAAGCAAGCCUCCUCUAGGGUUCAACGCCCCUUCUUCCCGCUUGUUGGCAUCUCAACCUCUAUAUCGAUGCGAAGACUUUUAUACCAUCUUUGCCUCCCCGUUGAUUAGAAUAGAACUUGACAGACAGGAACUGUAUAAACAUAUGCUAAAUGAAUGAAUAAAUGAGGGGAAA